CUCAGCUUAGCCUGUUAGCUUUAGCGUUAGCCCAGAUGCUAUACUAUCUUAUAUGUAUUAGCUCGGCACUAGCGCGAAGGCCAUCUGCUCUUCCUGACGUCAACACUACGUCAUCAGCAACCCAUAAACAGGAUUAUUUUAACCUGGCAGUUUUCAGUGUGUACACAUACUGGCCGAUGCAGAGUUGACAAUCGGAGGAGUCAGGACAACAGUAGUAGUGAGGUCGUUGGGAACUUGUGCUUAGAUCUGCGUCUUCCCAGAAUGCUCCUCUCCUCGAUGAUUGGCUGUAGUUUGAUCACUUCCUGUGGCUCUACUUCCUGAUGAGGUCUGAAUUACCUGCUGUCCCUGAACGUCUCUGAGGCAGGAGUGGACCACAGUGAAGGUUUUUUAAACGAGUGCCACACUCCUCGGCGCCAAAACCUUCUCAUUACCUUCCAGCUGGAGGGUGUGUGUGUGUGUUUGUGUGUCACACUUGGAUGAUUCCCCCUUGUUGUUAGCGAACUCUUUGCACUUGGCCUCGUGUCAUGUUUAUUUUUUUAAAUCAAAUCGUUUGUUGUCAAAGUGCCAGUUUUUCUCCUCUUGACAUCCGUGCUGAGCUCAGUUUGUGUCUGUUUUACUUUUGUCACCACUUCCACACAGCGUCUCCUGGUGAGGCUUACUCCAACAACUGAGAGGGUCCUCAGGACAGCCAGCUCAAAUAAAGACAAAAAUAAAACCAGUAAACCCUUUAAGAAGCUCAGCUGCAGAGCGUGUAUGAGUCUGAACAGAUGUGUGAUCCUGGUGUCGGUGCAUUCCUUCAGGUUUCAGCAGAGACCACUCUGGUUUGGUUUGUGAGACGUUAGCAGGACCUGCAUCAGUCCUGUGCAUGUCUGGCUGCAUGGAUACACCUGAUUAAUGCUGGUCUGAACUUUUUUUCCUUUUUUGCAUUAGUUUUCUUAAUGAAACAAGAAGUUUUAUGGAGUACCUCAGCUUCUGAACUGUGACAGCAGGAAGUGUCUUACUUUUAUACUCCGUUGUAAUCGUGCUCAGAUCCAGCAGCAGCAGCCAUGUUGUUCUGUUCCAGCAUCACUGAAGCGGGCGCCACGCUGUAAAAACCUGUUUGUGUUUGUUGUAAAACUCUGCUGAAUGUGCCAUUAGAGCAGGGAGGCUUCAUGAUGUGUACCCUGCUCAUCAGCAGCGAUGAUGGGACAAAUAAAUUAUGGAAACAAAAA